GUGUUCGGCAUGAGGGUGCCUGCAGAGGAGGUGAAUCCCUGCGUUUUCUAUUCUUUUUUUCUUCCAACUGGUGUGGAUCCCAGACAAUUUCAGGGUCCUGCAGGGUUUGAGACCCUCUGUGAACACUGACCCGGGACCCCGUUUUGCCCAUGCGAAGUUGACGCCAGCGCAGCCCCCGGCCAGGGGCACCGUCUCCUCGGCCCCGGGAUGCUGGACGGAGGGGACAACGUGCAGGGGCAGCUGCUGCUGGGCUGUGGACCUCCCGGAACGGGAGGAGCCCGGGAGGGGCUGGCCCAGCAGUGAGGGCUCCGAUGCGCCUCAAUUCAUAUGCUAAGGAGCCCUGGAUUCGGCUUUAAUUGCCGGAGUGGGAGGUGACCCCAGGGGCCCAAGCUGGGGGCGUGGCUGGGAAAUGCACAGAAAGAGACUUCGACAGGGGUAGCUAUCGUUUGUGCUGUGCUGUGCACACGUCUGGCUGAUAGAAAUCUAUGUCUAUAAACAGUUCCUUCCAGGUCUCCGUGGAAAACUGAAGAUUCUUGUGUGCUUUCAGAAAAGAGGUUCCAAGGAAAAGGGCAGCCAUUUAGUUUUCACAAGUCUGGGCAGUGAGCGAUUUGGAGCUUCCAUCCUUGGCUGACAUCAUGAACACCAAUGUUGCUGGCCUCGAUCGCAAGAAGGGUGGGACUUCGUGCUUAGCCUUCCUGGGGAAGGGCCUGUCCCUGGGUCACGUCCCCAGUGACCACAGGAGGAAGAGAAGGGAUGAGGAUCCUGGGGGGCCUGGCUCUGCGUCCACCCGUCUCUGUGUGGAUGCCUCCUGUGUCCAGGGUGAUAACCGGUCACCCGAAUGUGUCCUUGGGGUCAUUCCUGGCUUCUCCUGCCGCUUGAUCACCCCUCUGGCUGCAGGGAGCCCAGGACGGAGAAGGAGAGACCUCAUUCUCCCUGGGGAAUGCAGGCUGAGACCACCCAUGCUUCUGGAGCAGGGUUUCAUGUGGGGGAGGUCCCUCCAGGGAGGGACAGUGAACUGACGCUGUGAUAUUGCUCAGGAUGGAGGCCCAGGGCAGACGGCGUCACCAGCUGCCGCAGAAGCCAGGUUGCCAGAGGGGCUGUGUCACCAGCCCUGGGGACGCCAUGUUGCUGUGCGUUUCGACACAUUCCCGUGGAGUGUCUGAGGAAAAACAGGGCACACGCAUUCCUGAUAAGAUUGCACCAAAAGGCCAGGGCGGGGGACCAGGCUCCCAGCCUCCCUCUGUCUCAGUUGGGGGCCGAGGGGCAGGGACAGCCAGGAGAAGGCCCAGCCAGAUGCUGCUGGCUUCCCCCAGGACUCUGCCCGACUGGCCUCUCGGUUAAACCUCCUCACCUGAGCCUCUCUUAUGGCGUGGUUGAGUCACACAUGAGAGGGUUUUGUCUGCCGGGAGGGGCUCUUCUUAUGGGACAACAGGGGCGCGAGGUGUGUGGUGUGGCUCUCAGGGAUGUGUCUGGACUCUAUCACGUCUGAGUGUCCCUGGGGCCAGAGUGCUGGGGGCAGGAGCCUGUGGUUUAUCAAGCACCUUCUGCCAGCUGAGGCCGUGACUGUUUGUCCCUUACUGGAGGAGGCUUCAAGGUCAGCCUCUUCUUCCUUUGAUCCCAAGCUUGCCGUGUCUCCUCCUCAUUCCCCACGUCCACAUGAAAAGGCAGUGUUCACAGGUGGGUUGGUCUGAGAUUGAAAUCGCAAGGCCAGGAUUUUCUGUCUGGGCAGCCCCCUCGAGUCAGCCUCAGAGGAGCCCAGACCUCCUGGAUGGCUUUCGGCGAGCCUCCCAGUGGGCACAGCACUCGCCACCGGACACUGCAUGGACUCAGCUUCCACACUGCAAUGGGUACGGCCUGGUCCUUGCACUACCAUGGGCAAGGAGGAACGCUAUGCCUGGUGGGGGUGAGCACCCCAUCUCAUGACAAAGCAGUUCUCCAGGGUCUGCCCCACUUUUCUGUAAACCUGGGGGUCCAGCCCAGUGCAUUGGCUGGAAGGAGAGGGGACGCCUCCUGUCCCAGCUCACGGCGCUCUGCCGACCCCACUGUCCUCCCCAACCUUGGUGCUCCGGGGGGCCCCAAUGCCAUAGAUGCACUUCAUGGGGAGCAACUGGGGCUGUUCCUGAGGACCAAGAUGGGCAGAGACCCUAAAGACGUCCAUGGAUUGACCCCUGCUCUCUGUGGCCCCUGCCUGGCUGGCCUCCCCUCCUCACACUCUCCACAGCUCUCAUGCAACACAGCGCCUCUAAAAAUGCUGUCCUGAAAAUGUGCGCUUUGGGGAAGAGCAGCUUCCUCCUCUUCGACCAAGUUCGGGUCCCUUCUACCCUUCAGUGGCUGUAGGCAGUCGGUGAGGGUCCUGGACGGGGUGGGCUGGGGGCAGGGAGGGGCGCUGUGGGCUUUGGUUGCUCAGGGCUCCUGGCAGACACACCAACCUGGUGUGUUUGGAAAUGCACCUGGAUGUGUGCUGACCUCUGUGUGGAGGACCACGGGUGUGUUCAUCCCCCACUGGCUGCACCCCCGGGAGGCUGCAGCGUGCACCAUUCGGUCCCUACGCUGCAGUUAUUCUUGUAUUCUGCCUUGUCACUGGCCUUGCUGCCCAUGACUCCCUCAGGUCAGCCCACGUCUCUGUCAAACUUUCAUCCUCCGCAAUUCUGCGCAGCCUGUAAAUGCUUAAAAAAGAUUGCGGAACAGGUGAGUCACAUUACAGAAAGGACGCAACCUGGAAAAGCACAGACAUUCCUUCCCCUUCUGCACCUGUUAGAGUAAGGGAGGGGCAUGAGGGGGUGGGACCUGCACAAGGUGCAGCUGAUGGAAAUGCAGUCUUCAGGAGAAGCCCUGGCUCUGUAACGGCAAAGGCUGCGUGCCUGGGAAAAAGACAAACGUGUCUUAUCCAUAGACGGCCCCCCUGCCCCAAAGGCUGUCACGCUGCCGUUCAGUUAUCUAUUCUGCAGCGAUAGAACUGGCUUGACCUAAAAAUUCAGUGACGGAAAAAUGUCAUCUAAUGCUGCUUAGUGCAGUCAGGCGGUCAGCAGAUGAGGGCAGAAGGCCACUGGUCUUUGACAGAACACGCGGACGGCGAAAUAACAAAACAGGCAGCGGAUGAGGGCAGAAGGCCACUGGUCUUUGACAGAACACGCGGACGGCGAAAUAACAAAACAGGAUUCAGGCUGCACUGUCAGCAGCGGAGACAAACAAUUCUUCCAAAAUAAACAAGCGAGCUCCCAGCAGAGGCCUGUGAAGUCUCCCGUUCUGCCCAAACCACACACAUGUGGCCCACAGAGGAGGCUGCAGAGGCCCACGGGGCACUCAAGUGGCCGAGUGUGAGACCCAGGUCACCGGCCGUCCUCCCUGUCAGAACAAAAGGUUCAUGGAAAGGGCCAGGAGGACACAGUGAGGGAACCGAAUGCCACUGGCAUUUCCUGGAUCUUUUGUGCCAUAGUCUAAGCAUUUAGAGGAAGCACUGCGAGUUUGCUGCGCUGGAAGCUGAUGUGCUCCCCAAACACAAGACGCAGGACUGGAGGCCUUGCCCCGCAGCUCGAGAGGCCGUUUUGGGACAUAUCAAGGAAGGAAGGCUUAAGCGACACAGGACCUGGCUGACUUACGCACCCGCUGUCUAAAGAUGGGGUGCUGGCCGGUGAACUGGAGUGGCUCACGGCAGACCUGGAGUGACAGUCAUGGGUCUGUACCUGUGUGGAGUCCUCCAUGGCUGGGCUUGCAGAGACUGAGCUGGACUGCAUUGUGCAUUGGCUGGAAGGAGAGGAGCCACUGAGAGACCCAGCUUACGGCACUCUGCCCACCCCAACCCUGGCGCUCCAGGGGGGCUCAAUGCCACAGACACACUCCAGGGGGACAAUUGGGGCUGUUCCCAAGGACCAGGAGGGACAAAUGCCCUAAAGAUGUCCAUGGUUUGACCCCUGCUGUCUGUGGGCCCUGCCUGGCUGGCCUCCCCUUCUCACACUCUCCACAGUCCUCAUGCAACGCAGCACAUCUGAAAAUGCUGUCCUGAAAACGCGCACUCUGGGGAAGAGCAGCUUCCUCCUCUCUGAGUGGAGCGGGCUGGCCCCAUGAGGCGUGAUUUUCAUUGUGAAAUGUGCUUCACGUAACACUGGGGCCCUUGUCACCAUUUUUAAUUGUACAGUUUGGAGGCAAUAAGUGUGUUCAUCAUCACCACCUUCCACCCACAGAGCUUCUUCAUCUUCCCAAACGGAAACUCUGUCGUCGGUAAACACUCCCUCCCUUCCCGCAGCCCCUGGCACCUGCCUUCUCCUUCCUGUCUCCAUGAACCUGAGAACUCUUCGGACCCCACCUAAGUAGAGUUGGGUGGGAUUUGUCCUCUGUGGCUGGCUCGCGUCACUCAGCGGCCCUGAAGACUCAUCUGCGCCGCAGCCUGUCCCAGAAUCUCCCUCCCUCUAACACUGAUUAAUAUCCUGCUGCACAAAAAAACAAAGAUGAUAGUUUGAUACCUGAAAUCUACUUGAAAAUUGGUAAGAAAA
rnacentral:lncRNA from 1 species